UUAAAGGGCAAAUGAAGCAAGAAUCAAUUUUUUUACAAAUUAAGGAGUUUUGUACAAUCACCCUUCUCAUGCAUUUCAGUUUCUCUUUGAAUGUAAAACCAGCUCCUGAUGGGAAACUUUCUUCAGGUCUUAUGUGAAUACAGAAUAACCUCAAGCCCCACGCCAAUAGUGACAACGUCCUCCAGCUCCCUCAACUGGAAGAAGACAUCUGCAUGGAAGAGAUCUCCCAGGAAAAAAUAGGAACAAAAGCUGCCAAACAAAAUGGGUUUGGGACUAGCAAAAGCGCCAAAAGGAGGAGGGAGGCUUCACGUUGAUCAGCUUUGCUUUCAAUAUCAAACAUGGCAUCAUAGAUCCCCGGGAAGGACUCUCCAGCAUACUUGUUGUGACUGCUUGGAGCAAAGAUGACAUGUCUGUGGGGACAGAAGAAAAAAAUACUUACUCUUUCUUGUCCACUUGUUCAAGUCUCCUGUGAAAUUCAGCAGCAGCCUUUGAGAAGUUCACCACAGCAGAAAAAAGAGGAUCUAGAAAAGGAAAGACUUUGUGAACAACUUCAGAGUAUCUGCUGAG